AGCAUCCAUUGGAGGUAAGAUUGUAACUAUAUUUCGACCAUACGUCUCACUUCUGUUCCGUUUAGUUACCAUUUCUAAUAUUGCUUUGUGUCAAUCUGAACACCAAAACCUUGCAUGUCCUCGAGUUCAUUUGUUGUAAUUCCAGAUGUCAAUGCGGAUGCUGUUGCGACGAUGACGUCGAGAUCUUGUCCACCAAGCAAGAUAACUGUGUCCUGGACCAUCACCGCCAACAUUUGGAGCCAAAGGCUGAAUUGAGGAGACAGUGGCCGUGGCGGUGUGUGAUGGCCUUGAAUGUCAGCUGCUUCAAGAGGAGCCACCUUGGCCAGGACGGCGCCACUUGGUGCCACCAAUCUCAAGCGGCACACAUAUGAGAGUUCUUUAAACGCAGGAAGGUUGAACGGAACUCGCGUAAAAAAUUUACAGAGCUUGACGAGUGUUAUGGAGUCUCAGGAAGUUGCUGACUUUUUGUUUGUUUCACAAGGACUUUACCAUGCUCGUACCUUUAAGGUGCAGUGGAAAAGCAGCACGUAUCCAUGCGGAAGAACGGACUUGUCGUAAUGGCGUAUUUAUUUGAGCAGUGCUCAGGAGGUCGACCACGUUAUCGAGCCUUCAACACAAAAGGAAGAUCUUGUGGCCGCCCGCACAGCAGAAGGAUAGAACUGUAGGAUCUGAAACGUUUCACUACUUGUUGCUUGUGUUAUCCUUCUGAUGUGGAUGUUGAAGGUUCUCUAAAGAAAAACAAAGGGCUA